rnacentral:lncRNA from 1 species
GCUGGUUCUCGGCUGACUACUACACUUUGUUCAUAGACAGCCGGUGUGAGUCGAUCUAUUGUAGAAUCUGAUUAGUCGACCAAUCAAAUUACGUGUAACAGUAACAGUACACAUGGAGUUUUAUUUAAUGCUACAAUCCAAGAAAUGUUAUCGCAAAUGAAAAGGAAUCAUCUAUUUUCCUUCCAAUAAUCCAAUGGAACAUUUUUU